GGGUCCGAUUCUCGCUAUAGACUCAUGUGAAAAGAGUUAACGCUCUGCCGAAAGUCGUGGGUUUUCUCCGGGUUCCUCUCACCACGGUUAUUAACCGUGCUCUCACAGGAAAAGUUGACAGUGAGGGUUAGGACAAACACAGUCUCGUACCAGCCAUGGCUCUGGGUACGAGAUUGGGACAAACACAGUUGAGGAGCAUUUAUAUCACAACUGAUUUCUG